UGUCCCAGGGAUUACAUUCUCCUCCCCCAUCUUCGCUUGCUGCCACUUCAUUAUGCAAGUUUGCCUCCAAUGUCUGCAAAUAUGAAUAAAAUUCCUUCAGAUUUUGUUAAUGAAAGAGGUGAAGAGAGAUGAUGGUGAGGAGUUUGUGUACGAUUGUUGCUGACCUGUUGAUUCCCCGAUCUCCCAUGGCCGCCUCUCCCUUUCCCAUGGGCGCCUCCCAGAUUUGUUCUAGGCUGGUAGGUGAGAUCUUUGUAGUGGUUGAUGGCAAUUGGCGUGUUUUGUUGUGCCUGGGAUCGGACAAAUCGGGUCAGAUGUUUACCCGACCCGUUUAGACGAUCAGGAGGUUUUUUUUAGCUAUCUGCUGAUUUUCCUGCU